GUGUGACAGAGGUUCAGCUCUUCCCUACCCUGCCAUGGGCUCUAGAUUUCUCUGCUAUGUGGCUGUUUGUCUCCUGGGAGCAGGCCCAGUGUUGACUGGAGUCAUCCAGACCCCAAGACACAGGAUCAAAACAAAAGGACAGCAAGUGACACUAAGAUGUUCUCCUAUGUCUGGGCACCAGAGUGUGGCCUGGUAUCAGCAGGCUAUGGGUCAGGGCCCCCAGUUCCUCUUUGAAUAUUACAAUCAAUUACAGAGAGCAAAAGGGAACGUCUCUAACCGAUUCUCAGCUUGGUUCCGUGACUCUCUCUCUGAGCUGAACAUAAGCACACUGGAGUUGGGGGACUCGGCUGUGUAUCUCUGUGUCAGCAGAGGGCACAGCUCUGCAGAGUUCCCCACGUUCUGUGCAUAA